AUUGAACGCUGGCGGCAUGCCUUACACAUGCAAGUCGAACGGUAACGGGCCUUCGGGUGCCGACGAGUGGCGAACGGGUGAGUAAUGUAUCGGAACGUACCUUUCAGUGGGGGAUAACGUAGCGAAAGUUACGCUAAUACCGCAUAUUCUGUGUGCAGGAAAGCAGGGGAUCGCAAGACCUUGCGCUGAUUGAGCGGCCGAUAUCAGAUUAGCUAGUUGGUGAGGUAAAGGCUCACCAAGGCGACGAUCUGUAGCGGGUCUGAGAGGAUGAUCCGCCACACUGGAACUGAGACACGGUCCAGACUCCUACGGGAGGCAGCAGUGGGGAAUUUUGGACAAUGGGGGCAACCCUGAACCAGCCAUGCCGCGUGAGUGAAGAAGGCCUUCGGGUUGUAAAGCUCUUUCGGCCGGGAAGAAAUCGUAUCAGCUAAUACCUGAUGCGGAUGACGGUACCGGCAUAAGAAGCACCGGCUAACUACGUGCCAGCCGCCGCAGUAACAC
rnacentral:rRNA from 1 species